UGGGGAAUCUUCCGCAAUGGACGAAAGUCUGACGGAGCAACGCCGCGUGUAUGAUGAAGGUCUUCGGAUUGUAAAGUACUGUCAUUGGGGAAGAACGGUUUUCUUGAAAAGAUUGAGAAGACAUGACGGUACCCAAGGAGGAAGCCCCGGCUAACUACGUGCCAGCAGCCGCGGUAAUACGUAGGGGGCAAGCGUUGUCCGGAAUUAUUGGGCGUAAAGGGCGCGUAGGCGGGCCUUUAAGUCCGGUGUGAAAGAUCAGGGCUCAACCCUGAGAGUGCAUCGGAAACUGGAGGCCUUGAGGACAGGAGAGGAAAGUGGAAUUCCACGUGUAGCGGUGAAAUGCGUAGAUAUGUGGAGGAACACCAGUGGCGAAGGCGACUUUCUGGACUGUAACUGACGCUGAGGCGCGAAAGCGUGGGGAGCAAACAGGAUUAGAUACCCUGGUAGUCCACGCCGUAAACGAUGAGUGCUAGGUGUAGAGGGUAUCGACCCCUUCUGUGCCGCAGUUAACACAAUAAGUACUCCGCCUGGGAAGUACGAUCGCAAGAUUAAAAACUCAAAGGAAUUGACGGGGGUCAUAGCUGUUUUUCCU
rnacentral:rRNA from 1 species